AUUGGCAGUGCAUCUUGACAAUGGUUUGGCAAGGGUCUGCAAUUUCAGAACCUGCUGAGUGGCAGGCCUUGCUGCAUAAGACUAAGGCCAAGGCAGAUGGACCCAGAGUGCAGAAAAUUGCUGCAAGUCAGGAGCAAGACAGCAGCUGAGCAAAAGAUAUUGAUGAAAGUGCUCUGGAGUCCAAGAACAUAGAAAGCACUGGUGAUUCUAGGUGAUAACAGAACAACAAAAGAAGAAGAGACCACAUCGUUCAGGCACCUGAAUUCACAGAUGCUUUGAUCCACAUCCCAAGUGCAAAGCAGUUGAGCAUCCUUCUAGUUCAAUUUCCCUUCCCUGAUUUUUGCUAAAUUUCUAAAAGAAUGGAUUAUUAAGUGUAUUUUCAUGCCUGGUCAAAUUAAAAAUGUUACUUUUAAGUAACAUUCUGUAAAUCUGGAGAAAAUACACAUUC